rnacentral:tRNA from 1 species
GUGGCUAUAGUUCAGUGGCAGAACACUGGUUUGUGGAAUCGGUUGCGGGAGUUCGAUUCUCCUUAGCCACC